CCUACGGGGGGCAGCAGUGGGGAAUAUUGCACAAUGGGGGAAACCCUGAUGCAGCGACGCCGCGUGAGUGAAGAAGUAUUUCGGUACGUAAAGCUCUAUCAGCAGGGAAGAAAAUGACGGUACCUGACUAAGAAGCCCCGGCUAACUACGUGCCAGCAGCCGCGGUAAUACGUAGGGGGCAAGCGUUAUCCGGAUUUACUGGGUGUAAAGGGAGCGUAGACGGCAGCGCAAGUCUGGAGUGAAAUCCCAUGGCUUAACCAUGGAACUGCUUUUGAAACUGUGCAGCUAGAGUGCAGGAGAGGUAAGCGGAAUUCCUAGUGUAGCGGUGAAAUGCGUAGAGAUUAGGAGGAACACCAGUGGCGAAGGCGGCUUACUGGACUGUAACUGACGUUGAGGCUCGAAAGCGUGGGGAGCAAACAGGAUUAGAUACCCCAGUAGUC
rnacentral:rRNA from 1 species